GAGGCCUUAGCUUAAUAAAAGCGUUUGUUUUGCAUGCAGAAGAUGUGGGGUAGUGUCCCGCAGGUCUUA
rnacentral:tRNA from 1 species